AUUGAACGCUGGCGGCAGGCCUAACACAUGCAAGUCGAGCGAGCGGCGGACGGGUGAGUAAUGUCUGGGAAACUGCCUGAUGGAGGGGGAUAACUACUGGAAACGGUAGCUAAUACCGCAUACCAUCAGAUGUGCCCAGAUGGGAUUAGCUAGUGGGUGGGGUAAUGGCUCACCUAGGCGACGAGCCCUAGCGGGUCUGAGAGGAUGACCAGCCACCGUGGAACUGAGACAUGGCCCAGAAUCCUACGGGAGGCAGCAGUGGGGAAUAUUGGAAAAUGGGAGAAAGCCUGAUGCAGCCAGGCCGCGUGUGUGAAGAAGGCCUUCGGGUUGUAAAGCACUUUCAGCGGGGAGGCGUUACCCGCAGAAGAAGCACCGGCUAACUCCGUGCCAGCAGCCGCGGUAAUAC
rnacentral:rRNA from 1 species